ensembl:lncRNA
UGGACGGCCGUCUCUCUCUCAGACGCUCAACAGGUCUCAUGUUCAUUCUCUCUCAGAUCUGGAGAGGUAAAAGAAGGAAGACUGAACAUACAGGGCAUCGUAUAUUCAGGUCCAUGGAAGGCUCUUUUCCUCACUUUUCUCAUCUGUGCUCUUCUGGGUUCAGUUGGGUUCAUCCUCUACAAAUACAGAGAGAAACUAACAGGGAAGAAACCAGUCAAAGAAAUUUGUGAGGAGGAAACUAUCGAGAGACUGUCAAAAGAAGGUAUUUGAAGAAGUUUAUCUGUGCAAUACUUUUAUAACGGCAGCUGCUGAAGUGACCCACUAAAUGUCAAAUAAACACUCAUGUGCAUGUUGUAGCA